rnacentral:tRNA from 1 species
UAUUUUUUAGUCAAUGAUGAUUUUAAAUUGCAAGUUUAAAGGUAACUAAAUGUUAAAAAUUU